UCAUAUAACUUAGAUUAUUAAAUGAAUCUAAAAAAUAAAGAGCUCUCUCACUCACAUGAGGAAAUGUGUCUGACUGACACGGAAAUGGUAGGCAGGGAUCACUCUAGACUCCAUGAUUGGCUUCGGGAAGCCACCUUAGGUGAUCUCCUGCAGUAUGGUGGAACUCCCCUCCUGGGCCAGCUGUGGAUCUAGCAAGAGUGCUAGAAAAGACCACAGUUGCCAUCUCUCUUGAAACCAGGGUUCUUCAUUUUGGGCACUGUAGAGGUUUGGGGCUAGAUAAUUCUUUACUGGGGGGAGGAGCUGGCACCCCGUGCUUAACCAUAUCUCCCCAUGCCACCAGCACAGCCCUCUCAAUACAACCCAAAAGUGUUUCCAGGCAUUAUCCACCGAUCCCUGGUAGAACAAAAUUGACCCCCAUUAAUAUCCAUGGCUCAAGCCACAUUUCUUUUACAGUAAAAAUCUCUUUGAGUCUUCAUGUGCUGUUCAUAGUAAGAAGAAUAUCAUGAAGACACAUUUGGGUUUCAUAAUAUUAAAAAAAUCCAAUGUGAGCCGGGCAUGGUGGUGCACGCCUUUAAUUUCAGCACUCAGGAGGCAGAGGCAGGCAGACCUCUGAGUUCAAGGCCGGACUGGUCUACAGAGUGAGUUUCAAGGCAGCCAGGGCUACACAGAGAAACCUUUUCUCGAAAAAUAAAAACAAAAAUCCAAUGUGAUUUAUUUGUUUGCCUUUGAACUUGUUGCCUUGGGCCACAGUGCAUGCUGCAUAUGGAAAGGAUCUCAGUCUUCAAAGUGGGAAAACUUGUUCCUACUCCUAACCCCACCGUUAGCCAGCUCUUCGACACAGGUGGAAUUUUAGGUUAGUCCCUCCGACCCUCCCUUGGUUUUUCCCUUUGUAAAUGAAAACCUCUGACUGAAUUCCCAAGUUCAGAAUACAAAGACAGUGACUUGGAAUUCGAUGAUUCCACAGCCACGAAUGCCACAGAGCAGAGGAGUGAGCGACCUGUCCUAUCUAGGCUUUAUGUUAAGCCUCCUAAGACGCUCACUGAGCUCUGUUUCCCGGAGCACCAAAGGCAAGCCCCUCAACUGGAUUCUCCUGAAAGUCAGGAUCCAUCUCUAGAACGACAAGUGGCCAGAGUCCUGUCACCUGAUGUCCAGCAGUGACUGAUUAACAGCCUCUAGAACGGCAUAAAGGAGAUCACCAGGCAGAGCCCGAGUGUUUUCUACCUGCACCACAAGGAAGACUUUUGGAGAGGAGAAGUAGGAUUUUAAAAAUCGCGUUUAGCCGGGCUCAGUGGCACACCCCUGUAAUCCCAGCAAAGGCAGGUGGAUCUUUGUGAGUUUGAGGCCAGCCUUAUCUACAAAGCUCAUCCAGGACAUCUGAGGCUACAACAGAGGAACACUAUCUUGAAAAAACAAAAACAAACAAAAAAGUGCAGUUUUUUUGUACUGUGAAAUGUGAAAAUAAAAUUGUCAGCUGUUUUAGUAAAAGAAGAAAAAGAAGAAGGAGAAGAAAGAAGAUAAGGCAGGAAAGAUGUGAGCCUUGGAAAUGGGAAUAUAGCUUAACUGACACAGUGCUUGCCUAGCACACACAAGGUUCAGUUCUUAGCAAUGAAUAAAUUGGUGUAGCAGUCUUCAUCUGUAAUCCUAGAACUAAAGAGUCCCAGGUAAAAAGGAUCAGAAGUCCAAGGUUAUCUUAAACUACACAGCAAGUUCAAGGUCAGCCUGGGAUAUAUGAGAUUUUAUCUCAAAAAAGUAAAAUAAAGUAAAUAAGCCUAGGACUAGAUGUGAUACCAUAGAAACUACCAAAACACACAAAACCCCCUUACACUGUACUUCCUACAUUUACUUCCAAAGGACAAAUCCGGAGAUAAGCUCAUGGGAUCGGAGGUCCUUUGGGUUCCACGGUGUUUAAAGCCCAGGCAGAAAGAAAGAAGUCGUAUUUGGUUACCUUUGUAAACACUGGAGCGGCAAUGAUAGGCUUUCCAUCCAGUCCUUGCAAGUAGUUGGUAGGACUCUGACACUGUGAGGAGGAAUCAACAACAGGUCCAUCGUCACCAUGGCUACCGCACAGAUAGACCUAAAGAUAACAGAUCUACAGACUUUGUUGUAUAAAAUUAAUCUCAAGUCAAAACCCUAGUGAUUUCUAAAUUCAUGACUCACAGACUUGAGCUUGUAGAUUGAAUCGAUUGCAUUUCUUCCUAGGUCAGACUGGCUGUAAAACAAACUUCUCCAACCCCACUUGGGUCCAGGUAACUAGUCCUAGGCUGAAAAGGGCUCAUCAUUGUGCAGCGAUUACACAAAUCACAGUUUAAAGACCAACGUAUUUGGAGUCAAAGUUGACCUUCCCCAUUACUGAAAAGGUGUCCACGGAAGCCAGAAGAGGCAGCUGGAUUCCCCAGGAUUAUGUUUGGUUGUGAGCCACCCAACGCAAAUGCCAGGGAUUGAAGUCAGGCCCUCCGCAAGAGCAACCCUUGGCCUUAACCACUGAGUCACCUCUCCGGCUCCUAUUCGAGUUUUUUUACUUAAUAUGCUUCUGUACAUUGGAUGCUUUAUAAUAAACAUUAUCAUCAACGUGAAAAA